rnacentral:rRNA from 1 species
UUUUAGAUUAUAAUUUAAAGUAGGGCCUGCCCACUGAUUUUUUGAAGGGCCGCAGUAUUUUGACUGUGCAAAGGUAGCAUAAUCAUUAGUUUUUUAAUUGAAAGCUAGAAUGAAUGGUUUGAUGAGAAAAUAACUGUCUUAGUUUUAAUAAAAGAAUUUUAUUUUUAAGUUAAAAAGCUUAAAUAUUUUUAAAAGACGAGAAGACCCUAUAGAGUUUUAUUUUUAUUUUGAUUUAAAUUUUUAGUAUUAAUUUUUUAUAUUAAAAUAAAAAUUUGAUUGGGGUGAUUGAAAAAUUAAAUAAACUUUUUUUAAAUUAAAACAUAUAUAAAUGAAUAUUUGAUCCAUUAUUAAUUGAUUAAAAGAUUAAGUUACCUUAGGGAUAACAGCGUAAUUUUUCUUGAGAGUUCUAAUCGAAAGAAAAGAUUGCGACCUCGAUGUUGGAUUAAAAUUAAGUUUUGGUGUAGAAGCUAAAAAUUUGGGUCUGUUCGACCUUUAAAAUUUUACA